AGGUCUCAUGUCAUAUAGGAUUGUAUAAAGGAUUAAGGCUUCGUUUAGGAUUGCGGGAAGAUUGCGUGACGUGCGGUGAAAAAAUAUAUUGAAAAAAUAUUCUGUUUGUUUUUAUACGUAAUAUUGUGUUUUGUAUAUCGUGAUGAAUCGAUUACAAUAUAUAUUUUCUGCGGUUCCAUAGGAGAACACAAAAGUAUAUCUUUAUAUUCUUUUUCAUAACUCUAUUUUAUAUAAUAGCGUUUAGAUAUACUUCAAUACUAAAUUAAGCCUAAAUGUUCUUUCUCUUGUAUUCAUUUUAUAUUUUCUUUUAUUUUUGCCAGUAAUAUUUUUGAAUCCUGUGCCCACAUUAAAUGACUUGACGAAACAAAAUUCAAUAGACUGUUCUCAAAUCUCAACUGAGAUACCUAAUAAAGAAGAAAAGAGCUCUUACCUAUCUACUAGGCUAGGCUAGCUUUUAGGGGGGGAUUUUUAUAAUUGGUUGAUAUAGCGCAACCAAGUACGACAUUUAAAUGGGACCCAAUAAUUGCGCACAAUUCUUAAAGUCAUUUAAUUUGUACAGUCAAAAAUUACGUCACAAAAAUUAUAUAUAUAUAUAUAUAUAUAGAGCUAGGCUCCUAUGCUUUCGAAAGUACGGAAGGCCCCGUGCUUAUAAGUUAUUUUCGAUGAUGGGACAUUCGAUUCAGCGAUCGGUUCCGUUAAACUUGAUCUACGCUAUUGGAACUAUCUAAAAACCAAAUUUCAUAAUUUUUUGAUUUCGUAGUCUAGUGAACGAGUAGCCUCAAAAUAAACGGCUGAAAAUGAAAAUCUCAUAAAAAACAAUGAUAAAGGAUUCAAAUUUUAAAUCGAAAGUAUUGAUCUUGCUACUGAUGUUAAGUAGAAUUUUUUCUUAAAUUUUCAUGUAAUUUGGAUACUUCUACACCGUUGAACUUAAAAAUGUGCCAAAUCGAUCGUUAAAAUAGUCAUUUUUUAGACCUUUUGAUCGCUUAGUAAAUAAUGUCAAAAAAAUCUGAAAUUUGGUUUCUAGAUAGUUCCAAUAAGGUAGAUCAUACUUAACGGAGUCGAUCGUCGAAUCGAAUGUCCUAUCAUCGAAAACAACUUACAAACACGGGGCCUCCCGUACUUUCGAAAGUACGGGAGACGAAUUCUAUAUAUAUAUAUAUAUAUAUAGGGUUGGACUGGGCUACUAUUAGUAGCAAAAUCUCAUUAUUGCUACUAGUUUUUUAGUCUUUGGAUCAACUCUUUUCAUUAUUUCUAUCCAUUGGAUUAAAUACUAUAACCCAGUGGGGACCACUCAACCCUAGGGGGACCACUCAACUCUAACCGACUAAUAUCAUCCUGACCCUAUAAUUUUUCAUCCAAGGAUUAAAAACUUGAUAGCAAAAAGAUUAUUUUACUAUUAAUAGUAUUCCAGCUUAAUUAUAUAUAUAUAUAUAUAUAUAUAUAUAUAUAUAUAUAUAUAUGAAUUAGACUGAAAUAUUAUUAAUAGUAUCAAUGAUUUUGUGCUAUUAAGUUUUUUGUCCUUAUAUUAAAAGAUGUGCAGUUAGGAUAAUAUAAGUCCUCUAAGGUUGAGUGGGUGGUUAGUUGAAUAGUAUAAUUGAACGGAUAAAAAUGAUAAAAGAGAUAAAUCUAACGGUAGAAAACUUGAUAGCACCAUCAUAUAUAUAUAUAUAUAACAGAGUGGAUCGUCGAUUCGAAAGCUCUACCAUUGAAAACAACUUAUGAGUACAAAAGUCUCUAUACUCAUAAGAGUAUAUAUAGUAGCCCUAGUAUAUAUAUAUAUAUAGGCUAGGGUUACUAUACUCUUAUGAAUAUAGAGACCUUUGUACUCAUAAGUUGUUUUCAAUGAUGGAGCUUCCAAAUCUACGCUCUAUACCGUUAAAUAUGAUUUAGAGUAUUUGAAAUUUCUAGAAAAUAAAUUUCGCAAUUUUUUGAAAUCGUUAUAAAGUCUAUUAAGCGAAUAUAAAAUGAACGGUCAAAGUUGAACGACGUCCUAAAAAUGGAUGAUCAGAUCUUUCAAUUUAAGAUUGGAGUUAUUGAUCUUUAUCUAGAUAAUGAAUAGAAUUUUCUAUCAAAAAUUCAAGCUAUUUCGAUUCUUUUACAUCGUUAAACUAGCAGGUAUCACAUACCGGCAGUUAAAAAUUAUUAAUUUUGUGAGCUAUUGAUCGUAAGGUAAAUAAUAUCGAAAAAUUAUAAAAUUUGAUUUCUAGAAAUUUUAAAUGCUUUAAAUAAUAUUUAAUGGUCUGGAUCAUCGAUUCAGAAGCUCUAUCAUCGAAAAUAAUUUAUGAGUACGAAUGCGAUCGUACUCAUAAGAGUAUAGUAGCCGGACUCUAUAUAUAUAUGAGUCUGGCUAUUAUACUUUUAUGAGUACAGCCUGUUUUAUACUCAGACUUCGUUUGGAAUUGUGAGAAGAUUGUAUUUUAUGAGUGUAAGCUCUUUUAUACUCAGGCUUCGUUUGGAAUUGUGGGAAAAUUGCAUUUUGUGCGGCGGGAAAGGACGAUGAAAAAAUAUCCUAUUUUAAUAUUGCGUUCCGCAUGUCAUGAUUAGUCGAUUACGAUAUAUUUUCUACGAUCCUAUCGGAGAUCGCAGAAGUAUAUCUCUACAUAUUUUUUUUUCUCAACUCUAUUUUAUCUAAUAGCAUUAGAUAGACUUGAAUACCAAAGUAAGCGUCAUACUUUUCGAUCCCUUUGAUCACUUUCAUUCGUCAGAGCAUACUAUUCAACCAAUUACUACUCAACCCUCGAAAAUCUUAAAUCAUACUGUUCAACCAACUAUCAACUCAACUAUAAGGAAUCACUAUCAUCCUAAUGGCACAUAUCUUUUAUUUAAGAUCGAAGAAUCUAAUAGAAAUGAUAACUCAUGCUAUUAAUAGUAGCCUAGCCUAAUUCUAUAUAUCAUACGUUAUCUUUUCUAUUUUUUCUUCUUUUUUUUUUGAGAGAUAAGUAGCAUGUUGUCCGCUUCGUUUAUUUCAUUUGGAAAUAAACUUAGCUGGAAAUAUGAAUCAAGUAGAAUUUGAAUUUGAAUCUUGGGUAUCAACUAUCAAGUCCUUUACCACUUGCUCUAAGAACGGUCGGUAUAUAUCAUACGUUAUCACAAGUGAAUAC
rnacentral:lncRNA from 1 species